rnacentral:lncRNA from 13 species
CUGUGACGCCGGGUAGGCCAAUCCGGGCAUUCCCCGCCCAACUGCGCUUACGUCAAGAUGGCGUAUCUGUCCCGCCCAGUACGUGGGGCCCAAUCCGAGGCCCACCUCCUGGCACCGCCCUCCCGAGAGUGCUCUCCUGUGCGCGGCAGUGGGUCAGCGUGGAGUUUUGCUCGUGUUGCCCAGGCUGGAGUGCAAUCGCGCCAUCUCAGCUCACCACAACAUCCACCUCCUGGGUUCAAGCGAUCCUGCCUCACUGUAGCCUCCACCUCCCGGGUUCAAGCGAUUCUCCUGCUUCAGCCUUCUGAGUAGCUGGGAUUACAGGACAGAGUCUCACUGUGUCACCAGGCUGGAGUGUAGUGGUACAAUCUCAGCUCACUGCAACCUCUGCCUCCCGGGCUCAAGUGAUUCUUCUACCUCAGCCUCCUGAGUAGCUGGACUACAGGUACAUGCCACCAUGCCCAGCUAAUUUUUGUAUUUUUAAUAGAGAUGGGGUUUCACCAUGUUGGCCAGGAUGGUCUUGAUCUCUGGACCUCGUGAUCUGCCUGCCUUAGCCUCCCAAAGUGUUGGGAUUACAGGCGUGAGCCACCGCACUUGGCCUAUAUUUUUAGUAGAGAUGGGGUUUCACCAUGUUGGCCAGCUGGUCUCAAACUCCUAACCUCAGGUGAUCUGCCCUCCUUGGCCUUCCAAACUGCUGGGAUUACAAGCGUGAGCCACCGUGCCCAUACUGAAUUUACUUUUAUGCCCUGUAGAGCCUAACAGAAUCUGUGUUCAUUCAACAGCUGUUCAUUAGGCACCUGCUAUAUGUCAGGUCUGGGGGAUUCAGAGAAGAAAGAACACCUUCUCUCAGCAAUGAAGGAGACACUUCAAUUGGCAAUGUCUCAAAAGCAGGGUCAGAAGUGAUCACGAUAUUGCUACUGUUACUCCUGCUAUAUUAUUCAGUACCAAGCUCCACCUCUGCUCCAAAGCCGGCUCUACUGACAAGUGAAUUCUCAUAGAACCAUGGUGCUGCAUGUUGAGUGCUCUCUGUUCACUAGGCACCACUGAGCAAUACUCGGUACUCACCUACAUGCAUAACCCCAGAGAAUGCCCCUAGAACGUGGAUACUUUUCAUCAUUUCUGUUUUACAGAUGAUGAGACACGCCCAGAGAGGUUUGAGUAACUGGCUCAAGGUGACAUGGUUAGUGAGAGGUGGAGGAGCUGACCUACGACUGCUCAUGCUAUACCUUGUUCCCUUAUCCUCUGAGCUAUACUGUUUUGGGUUGAAUGCCUUCAACUUAAAGACCAUGAGACCGCAGAGGAAUCUUUAACAAGUACAAGG